rnacentral:misc_RNA from 1 species
GAUGAAGAACGUAGCGAAAUGCGAUACGUAAUGUGAAUUGCAGAAUUCAGUGAAUCAUCGAAUCUUUGAACGCAUAUUGCGCUCUCUGGUAUUCCGGAGAGCAUGCUUGUUUGAGUAUCAGUAAACACCUCAACUCCCUUUUCUUUUUUGAAAUUGGAGCUGGUCUUGAGUGAUCCCAACGCUUUCUUCCAAGAAAGUGGCGGGUUGCUUGAAAUGCAGGUGCAGCUGAACUUUUCUCUGAGCUAUAAGCAUAUCUAUUUAGUCUGCCUAAAAAACAGAUUAUUACCUUUGCUGCAGCUAACAUAAAGGAGACUAGUUCUUGUGCUGACUGAUGCAGGAUUCACAGAGACAGCUUCGGCUGACUUUGUAAACUCGAUCUCAAAUCAAGUAAGACUACCCGCUGAACUUAAGCAUAUCAAUAAGCGGAGGA